AGCGAACGCUGGCGGCAGGCUUAACACAUGCCAGUCGAGCGGGCACUUUCGGGUGUCAGCGGCGGACGGGUGAGUAACGCGUGGGAACGUGCCCUCUGGUUCGGAAUAACUCAGGGAAACUUGAGCUAAUACCGGAUACGCCCUUUUGGGGAAAGGCUUGCUGCCGGAGGAUCGGCCCGCGUCUGAUUAGCUAGUUGGUGAGGUAACGGCUCACCAAGGCGACGAUCAGUAGCUGGUCUGAGAGGAUGAUCAGCCACACUGGGACUGAGACACGGCCCAGACUCCUACGGGAGGCAGCAGUGGGGAAUAUUGGACAAUGGGCGCAAGCCUGAUCCAGCCAGGCCGCGUGAGUGAUGAAGGCCUUAGGGUUGUAAAGCUCUUUUAUCCGGGACGAUAAUGACGGUACCGGAGGAAUAAGCCCCGGCUAACUUCGU
rnacentral:rRNA from 1 species